rnacentral:rRNA from 1 species
GUGGCGAACGGGUGAGUAACACGUGGGUAAUCUGCCCUGUACUCUGGGAUAAGCCUGGGAAACUGGGUCUAAUACCGGAUAUGACCUUUCACCGCAUGGUGGGGGGUGGAAAGUUCCGGCGGUAUGGGAUGAACCCGCGGCCUAUCAGCUUGUUGGUGGGGUAAUGGCCUACCAAGGCGACGACGGGUAGCCGGCCUGAGAGGGUGACCGGCCACACUGGGACUGAGACACGGCCCAGACUCCUACGGGAGGCAGCAGUGGGGAAUAUUGCACAAUGGGCGCAAGCCUGAUGCAGCGACGCCGCGUGAGGGAUGACGGCCUUCGGGUUGUAAACCUCUUUCGCCAGGGACGAAGCGCGAGUGACGGUACCUGGAUAAGAAGCACCGGCUAACUACGUGCCAGCAGCCGCGGUAAUACGUAGGGUGCGAGCGUUGUCCGGAAUUAUUGGGCGUAAAGAGCUCGUAGGCGGUUUGUCGCGUCGGCUGUGAAAUCUGGAGGCUUAACCUUCAGCGUGCAGUCGAUACGGGCAGACUUGAGUUCGGCAGGGGAGACUGGGAUUCCUGGUGUAGCGGUGAAAUGCGUAGAGAUCUGGAGGAAUACCGAUGGCGAAGGCAGCCAUCUGGCCUAAUACUGACGCUGAGGUACGAAAGC